AUUUUCCAUCUGCAAUGUAGUUCGAAAAUUAAUAAUAACAUGCUAAGAUUUGUACAAAAGGAAAGCGAAUUUGAUAGCAUAGUUUCAAGUAAAUAGUAUACAGUCUACAUACAUCAUACGUUUUAUUAUUAUUAUUAUUAUUGUUGUUGAAUGUACUAGACAGUAAUUUUAAAUCGAUUUAAUAAAUAAAAAUGUAGAAAUGUGAUUAUUUAAUAAGUGAAACAUAAUUCUGACUGAAAUUCUAAGAAUUGUGGUGUUCACAAGCAACUGCCCCAGUGGCGCAAUCGGUUAGCGCACGGUACUUAUAUGACAGUGGUCGUGAGCAAUGCCGGGGUUGUGAGUUCGAGCCUCACCUGGGGCAUUUUUUUUUACAUGAUAAAAAUUUUCAAUUUCAUUACGCAUUUAUGGACACCUAGUAACUUCAGUCAGUGUAGUGACAGUACAGUCUGGAUGAGAAGCAUUAAAUUCCUGGUAGAAUGAGGCCACCUGAGCAGCCCACCCAGUCUCCUAACCAAUGGAUGAUACCAGGGACUUUUCUCCAAGAGGUAAAGCAACCAGAUUAUGAAGCUCUUCACUCACCUUCAUCCAUUGUCAACGUUAAGAAUUUGUGGACCUAUACCCACACUCCUCCAUACAUCUUCAUGGCACAGUGCUUAAUUAAACACAGGGCCUUUCCAUUUACUUUUAUAAACAGUGGUGAUUACUCCUAUGUUAUUUUAUUUUCUUCACAUGUGCAUAUUAUUUUAUGUACAGUAUAUUUGUCUAUUUUCUAUUUAAGUGUGUAGGAUUGAGUUGGAUAAUUCUAUCAUACUGAUUAGGUAAAAAAAAAAACACUUCCACAUAUUUUCAAAUUCUUCAUUCACAAAGACAAUGCCUUUUGAUUUUGUCCAAAUCUAUGAGUUGAAAAAAGUCAGUAAAUAAUCUAAGAAAUUGUCUUUACAUAAAGUGUGCUAUGCAAGCAUGAGUUAUUUAUCAUUUGUACUGAGAGCAGUGAUAAGAUAGGAGACAGACGGAACUCAAAGAACUGAACACUUAAAAAAUUUCACUCAAAACCACUAUGUUUUAUUUCUACGUAUCUUCUACUGGAUUCUUGAUUUCAAUACUGUUCCCUGUAUAUGUCAAUAAUUAUCUUACAUUACUGAACCUAUUAUUCCAUGUGCUUGAAUAGAAGUUUUGUAAACUGUAGGACGAAAAUUCUGACCCAUACUGAUUGCACCCUUGUCACCACAGCUUGGCAUUGCUUUAAAUUGAAGGUGGAGGACACAGCCUCCAAAUUUGAGGGAUACUGGCAAAAAUGUUGAAAGAUGCAGUCAUGAAGAGCCAACAAGGAACGAUCUCCUAGCUUCAAGGUCAAGCUAAAAAAAUUCAUCACCAUAAAAUAUUACCUUAUUCAAAAUGUGUGUUUAGGAUACAUUGAGGACAAGAUGGGUUGGAUAUGAAACACAUGUGACUUUAUUAAUUUUUCUUUCUUUUCAUAGAUAAGACAAGCCUCUUUUAUUGCAAGAAGAUACAAAUUAAAGGUUUCGUUUUAUAAUCAGGUAAUUAGAGUAUUUCUUUAUGGUGAAUGUCCUAGUCUUACUGAUCUUCCUGGCCUCUGCCUGCUCAGCAAGGUAAUGGGAUCAAUCUGAGAUAGCAGCUCCCAUGACAUGCAUUCAGAUAUUCCCACUGAUUUAAUGACCGAAAGGAUUGAAGGCACCUACCAUUUAAUGAUUACUCUAAAUCACAGUAAGGAUCUGGCUGGUAUUAAACUGAAGCUAUCUGGCAAGUGGUGCCAAUAUCAUGAUAGAUGAACAAGUAAACUAUUCAGCAACCACUUGCUUUGGCUCUAGAUUACUUAUUUUACUGGAUAAGACUUUAUAUUCAGUACACAGAAAAGAAUGUUCUUUGCAUACAUAUCUCAUUAAGAAUACAAAGUCCUCUAUAUACACAACUCAACCAGAAUCUUAGUGCAGAAACUAACAAUUUCUUGUUACCGUGUUCGGUAAACAGAGAACUACCACAACUGCCUUUCCCACACUUAACAUGCAUAAAUUUUCCUGUAAGUUAUAUUUAUUUCAUAUAACUGUAGUGUGCAGAAUCUGACUUUCUUGAACCACUGAGUUAUUCAUUUGGUCAAGAAAUUCCUGCUUACAUGAAAACUGAAAAUUCAUAACCAUGUUCACAGAAGCCCACCACUGGCCCCUGUCCUAAAGUAGUUCAAUCCAGGUGGUAUUAGCACAGCUUAUGUGUCCAAUUGUUAUCCUUCCAUCUACACCAGUGAUCUCUUCCCUUGAGGUUUUCAAACCAAACUUUUGUAUAUACAGGCAGUGCUUUUCCAUGCAUACUGGUAAACAAUUUGUGUGUCGUGAAACUUAUCAAAAGUAAUAAACUGCAUGUCUGCCAGCAUAUUGUAUAUUUUGAUCCUGAGGUUGAAACUCAGCAUACGAAUACUCUCCAAUAUGCCAAGAAAAAACACUGUGCACAGGUAUUUUCGUUUCCCUAUGUAUGCCAAAUAUUCCACCCCUCUCACCCUACUUUAUUUCAUAGCCCUAACAACAUUAGGGGAAGAGUGAAUAUCAUGAGGCUUCUCAUUGUGUAAUUAUUGCCAUUCUCCUUUUCUUUCUCAGGUUCAAAUGUUUUCUUCAGGGCUUCAAACAUCCUCAAUCUGCAUUCCUCCCACACACUAAAGGGCCUUCAUUUACACACAUAUGAAGAAUAAUAUGCAAACAAAAAGGUUGAUAAAAUUGUUCCUGCCAAAAAGGCAUAUGGGGGAAUGGUGAUAUACCUUCACACAUCUUCAGGAAAGUGUCCCUGCUACCCAUCAGAUAAGAGGCUGAGUGGUUCUGAGUCAAUCUGGAUGCAGUGGUGAAGAGAAGCAAUUCCUGCCACUGCCAGAAACUGAACACUGGACAUCAAGCAUGUAACCUGGUCUUUAUACUGACUCAAGUUAUCCCAGCACCUUAGGUAAAAUAACAGUUCUAUAUACAAUAAUUUUUAGAUUUCUACAGAGUAACAAGAUAAAAGAUUCUGAUCUGAUAAUAACACAUAUUUCCCAAAAUUUAAGUUGUCCUUUUAUAUCAUUAACAAAAUAUCAAUACAUAUUCUGUUUAAGCCAUAUGGCACCCCCAUCAAUCAUCAGUUUUUGUCAUAGUAAUGCAUUAUUCUUCAAAAACCAAAUCACAAUUCCUUUUGUGACUCUAGUUUAAAGCACAUUAUCUUCUUGCUGUAAGAAAGAAAUAGAAAUGUCCUUCCAUGAUAUACAGUUGGUGCAAUCUACUUUACUGUAUAGAAUGAAUUUAUAUUUAUAACAAUGACAAGAUUUUUUACGAGAACUAUACAUAUAAUAUUUAGGAAAAUGCAGCAUACAACACCCUCAUUUUUUGUCAUGUGAUCAAGGAAGACACAUGGAGAUAUACGUCUCUUAUUCCUUUCUUACAACAUGAAUGACAAAUCUUGUCAUUAAAUUCUGAAAAGGAUAACAGAAGGUAUAAAAUCCAAAGACAGUGGUACUAGGGCACAGGAAGUUGAAAUAUGUCAUAUUCAGCACAGUUCAGUGAGAAUCUUCUCUUGUUCUUGGAAGUGAUGCUGUAUAGUGUAGCCGUCUCGUUUGUUUCUACAUAUCAUAUGAUCUGCAGUGUCAUACUACAGCCAUGUGAAUGCAACAGACAAGAAGCAGGGUAACGAUAAAGAAACAUGAUCCAAUGAGGAUAACAUGAAGACUGCCUCAAUCCUAUACAUGGCCUACCCAGUUCCUCCAGGCAGAGGGAAGACAUUUUCAUUCUUAUAGGUCAAGUAGGCAGCAAUAUGGAUGUUUUCCAUAAAUCCUUUUGAGAAUCAUGUACCAAAGAUUUUCAUCACAAAACUGUGAAAAGAAAAUGCCCAAAUUAUGCAACGAAAUGUGUUAUAUCAUGGUGAACUGAUAUUCAGUAAUUUGCAUCCUGAAUCUUUUGGUCACUAAACCUUAAAUUGACAUAUAAUUUCAUACUUUGGUAAAUGGGACUGAAUCUGGUAUUCAGUUAUAGCCCAUAAGGAAUCAUAUAUAAGAAAUAUGGUGAAAGAAUAACUCUACUUACAAAAUACAUUGGAAGCACUUACCAUAUUUACUCACAUAAUCUUUGCAUCUCUACUUUUAGAUGAGAAAUUAAAAAAAAAAAUCAGAUACCACAUUUUUACCCUUCAUAAAAUUUUGACCAACAUAAUUUUUGAGAAAAAUGUUAUGAAAGUUAAAUUCAUUAUGGCAACAUGACAUGAACUUUACUCAUAAAAUAGGCUGAUCUAGAGGUAAUGGAUGACUCAUACUCAGGAGGUGCUUGGUUUGAUCUCGGCCAGAAUACCACUGCUCUUGUUUGAGGUUUCUUGUGGUUUUCCUCAGUCACUGUAACCAAACUCUGGGAUAGUACCAUCAACAGGCCACAUAUGCUUCCUUCCAAACUCUUUUUCCAAUUCAUCAUCAUUCAUGUCAUCCCAAUAUCUCACACUAUACAGCCUUGAUACUUAAGGCAUCAUUAAUAACCUACAGAAGAACUGGAACCAUAUUAGCAGUCUCCAUGAAAAUUGUUCCUUAAAACAUCAAGGAAAACUUUUGUCUCAAUGUUAGUCAAUGCGCUGCAUAAUGGAGUUCAUAAGCAUGAUUGUCCACACUGCAUUGCCAUACCAUAUCCAGGUUCUAAUUGCAUUUUCCACGUACAUUAUUCAUUGAUCUAAACAUUAUCAAGGAACACUUUCAUCUCAAUGUUCAUCAAGGAAUUGCAAAGAAAAGUAUACAGGCACCAAAAUCCAUAACAUGUUGCCAACCAUCACCUCAAUCUAUCAUUUAAAAUUAUACUCUGAAAAGUAAUAUUCAUGUAUCUUCUGCAUAACUUUCAUGCAUGAUUCUUUGGGCAAAAGAAAUACAUAAAUUGUGGAAGUAAAUACGGUAAUUAUGAUGUGGGCACUUACAUAUUAACAGGUGAUCCAAAAAAUUUUAUGCACAACUUCUACAUUUUCUUUAUUGAAAAAAUCAAAUUAUAAUCAGGAAAAUUACACCUGCUUCUGACAGUAUUGUCCAGUUGUUUAAAAAAUGGCAUAAGAUCCUUGCUGUUGAGUUGACUCCACCUCAUAAACCUAGUGCUUAUUAUUAUACCAUUUUCUCUAUCCCCACAUCCAGACCACAUUUUGCAUGUGCCUGUCAGUCAUCAGGUCAGUGAAGUUGUACUUAAGGCUGACAUUCAAAUGUUAAAAAUUUGUUUCUUCCAGACCAGUUCUCUUGUAUCUGUGUCAACUAUCUGAACAGAGAUUGA